AUUGAACGCUGGCGGCAGGCCUAACACAUGCAAGUCGAGCGGGGUUUUCGGACCUAGCGGCGGACGGGUGAGUAAUGCGUAGGAAGCUGCCCGAUAGAGGGGGAUACCAGUUGGAAACGACUGUUAAUACCGCAUAAUGUCUACGGACCAAAGUGUGGGACCUUCGGGCCACAUGCUAUCGGAUGCGCCUACGUGGGAUUAGCUAGUUGGUGAGGUAAUGGCUCACCAAGGCGACGAUCUCUAGCUGGUUUGAGAGGAUGAUCAGCCACACUGGAACUGAGACACGGACCAGACUCCUACGGGAGGCAGCAGUGGGGAAUAUUGGACAAUGGGCGCAAGCCUGAUCCAGCCAUGCCGCGUGUGUGAAGAAGGCCUUCGGGUUGUAAAGCACUUUCAGCGAGGAGGAAGGGUGGUGUGUUAAUAGCACAUCAUUUUGACGUUACUCGCAGAAGAAGCACCGGCUAACUCUGUGCCAGCAGCCGCAGUAAGAC
rnacentral:rRNA from 1 species